UGGUUAAGACUACGACGGUAUCUGAUCGUCUUCGAUCCCCUAACUUUCGUUCUUGAUUAAUGAAAACAUCCUUGGCAAAUGCUUUCGCAGUAGUUAGUCUUCAAUAAAUCCAAGAAUUUCACCUCUGACAAUUGAAUACUAAUGCCCCCAACUAUCCCUAUUAAUCAUUACGUCGAUCCUAGAAACCAACAAAAUAGGAUCAAACGUCCUAUUUCAUUAUUCCAUGCUAAUGUAUUCAAGCCUAAGCCUGCUUUAAACACUCUAAUUUUUUCAAAGUAACAGUCCUGAUUUCCUGCAACACCAAAUUAAUGACAUUACAGUUCGUCAAGAGGGAGGAAUCAGUGAGAUCAGUACAUACCAGAGGCAUGACCAACCUACUAACCCCGAAAUUCAACUACGAGCUUUUUAACUGCAACAACUUUAAUAUACGCUAUUGGAGCU
rnacentral:rRNA from 1 species